rnacentral:rRNA from 1 species
CUCAGACUGAACGCUGGCGGCGUGCUUAACACAUGCAAGUCGCGCGUGAAAGGACUUCGGUCCGAGUAAAGCGGCGCACGGGUGAGUAACGCGUGGAUGAUCUACCCAUGAGUUAGGAAUAACGGCUGGAAACGGUCGCUAAUACCAAAUACGCUCCGAUUUCAACUUCGGGGGAAAGGUGGCCUCUGCUUGCAAGCUACUGCUCAUGGAUGAGUCCGCGUCCCAUUAGCUAGUUGGUGGGGUAACGGCCCACCAAGGCGACGAUGGGUAGCCGGUCUGAGAGGAUGACCGGCCACACUGGGACUGGGACACGGCCCAGACUCCUACGGGAGGCAGCAGUGGGGAAUAUUGCGCAAUGGGCGAAAGCCUGACGCAGCGACGCCGCGUGAGGGAUGAAGGUCCUCGGAUCGUAAACCUCUGUCAGGAGGGAAGAACCGCCACGGUGCUAAUCAGCCGUGGUCUGACGGUACCUCCAAAGGAAGCACCGGCUAACUCCGUGCCAGCCGCUGC